rnacentral:rRNA from 1 species
UACAGAGGGUGCAAGCGUUGUUCGGAAUUAUUGGGCGUAAAGGGAGUGUAGGCGGCUCUUUAAGUCUUCUGUGAAAUCUACGGGCUUAACCUGUAACGUGCAGAGGAUACUGAGGAGCUUGAGUGUCGGAGAGGAUAGUGGAAUUCCCGGUGUAGAGGUGAAAUUCGUAGAGAUCGGGAGGAACACCAGUGGCGAAGGCGACUGUCUGGCUGACAACUGACGCUGAGACUCGAAAGCAUGGGGAG